CAGACUGAGUGCGCUGAAUAUUGGUGACCACGAGUGGUAUCUUUAGCGCUGCUUACUGAGUAUUUCUAAUUCUGUCAUUCCCAAUUACAUGAGAGAAUUACACUUCCUUGUUCCCUUUUGGAUGGGUGGGACAUGUGACUAGACCUGGCCAAUGAGUUAUAAGAAGAAAUGUCAUCUUUUACUUCCAGAAGAAAACUCUCUUCCUCCCUUCAGAAAAGCCCUGUGGAACCUACCUGCUCUAAUGAAUAUACAGAGCUGCUUUUACAACUUUAAUUACUAAAAAAGAAAAGAUUCAACUCAA